rnacentral:rRNA from 1 species
UACGUAGGGUGCGAGCGUUAAUCGGAAUUACUGGGCGUAAAGCGUGCGCAGGCGGCUUUGCAAGACAGAUGUGAAAUCCCCGGGCUUAACCUGGGAACUGCAUUUGUGACUGCAUGGCUGGAGUGCGGCAGAGGGGGAUGGAAUUCCGCGUGUAGCAGUGAAAUGCGUAGAUAUGCGGAGGAACACCGAUGGCGAAGGCAGCCUUCUGGGCCAACACUGACGCUCAUGCACGAAAGCGUGGGGAGCAAACAGG